rnacentral:lncRNA from 1 species
GUUGUAUGGCGUUAUAUAACGUUCAACUUUAUAGCCUAAAAAAGUAUUAGUUUCUUUACACAAGAAACUAAUACUUUGGGCUCUUAUCUCAAGUGAUGUGCGCAAGUCAGCUUUAUGAUUAUGUGUUAAAAGCCGAGUGUGUAGGUUUUGACUGGAUGUUGCUGUACAAAGUUUCAGAUCAAUAGCUUUUGUUGUCAUGAUGAUGGCUGUACAACAGUUAAUACUAUUAUCACACAACUGCGUAUAACGCAAAAUUCAUCACGUUUGACACUUUUUUGAGAUUGUGUAUUAUUCUCGUGAGUCUGAGACCUGACGAGCAACUAUUGUUCCGGCAAUAUUAUGGAAAAUGGCAAAAUGCGUACAUGUUGUUUACCACACAAAAAAAUGAACUAUUUUAUUUGAGCUUUAAAUCUGGGGAAAAAAGACUUCUAAAAUCACAAUUUUAUCAAUAACAAAAAUUUUUUGGUUUUGUUGUUGUUUUCUAACAAGGCGUGUUCUCACGUUCCCACUCGGGAAAGCCCUUCAGUACAUUUUUUUCCAUGAAAAAAGGUAAACGAGUACAUACCAUUGCAAACUAUUAACUGGUUGUAGCUAUACCUUUCAUUUUCCUGCUAUUAUUAAAGAUAUGGUUGAGAGAACAUUAUCGUUAUGUUCGUUCCAAGCGAUGUCUAACGAAGCACGAAAAUUAUUUCUGAUCUUACCCAAUUUUACAUCACAUCCUAACAUUUGUCUGAAGUAUACAAAGUUGCGUCACCUGAUCGAAAAAGGUUUUUGUUUCUUGUCAACCUACAUGAUCAAAGAUAAAGCCUUUCAAAUAAUUCAUAAGGAUAACGUGAGUGCGGUCGCCAUGUCUACCGGAUCAAUAAUCUGGUACACAUUGAAACAUCAGAUGAGUACAGAGACUCCAAGCCCUACAGUUGUGUUAACCGAUGUGAUAGAAAACCAAUACACAUCACAUGUUGUGGCUGUGAAUUUUCUGGUGUCGUCCUGGACACAAUGACAAACACAAGGGUGGCAUUAAAAUGUAAAGAAACUCAACAAGUAGUAUACCCUAGUACAGACAAUUCUAACUCAUAAAACUGCAAAAGAACAAAGCAAGGAAAAAAAUAAAAUUUAAUUGACGAAUGCCAUACUGUUUUAAAAUGGAUAUCUGGUAGAACGAAAAACCCUCGUAAAAAACUAGUCUUGUUUUUUUGCUCAUUAAGGAAACGAACCCUCUACUCACUGCAACAUUUUACAGCUUGGUGUCCGUGUAUCCAAAUAACCCCAAUAUUGAAAACUGUAAAGAAAAGUAACUGUACUGUAUACACUAAAUAUGACAUAUCCUCUACACAAUCUCUUUGAGUCUAGAUAGAGCUUUUCUUAUAAACGGGGGCAUUGAGUAUACAUGAGAAAAUGACCGCUGUCUGCCUGUCUCUCGUGGUUACUGUUUGUCGACUGUCGUUGGCCUGGAAAUAAUCCGGCAAUGAUGCUGUAGGCGUUGUCGGCACAAGAAAAUCAUUAAUCAGAACAUGGUUCUGUGCAACUGUUACAUUUAUAAUUUUUUCUGAGGGAGGGGGGUUGUAUAAUUGUUCUUGAUGACCAACUAAUUUUAAAGAGGACAUUUUUUUGUCCUGGUCAGAGAUUUUACGGAAUUGAGAAGUAAAAAGUUUUUGUGACGGUUGAAAUUUCAUCUGUGGCAGACGACACAGGAAAGUAAAAUGGCGGAGAAGAUUUAAACCAGUUGUGGGAGCCAGAGUGAAACGCAAUUUAUUUUAAAUAAUGAUGAUUUGGACUACUAAUGCAACAUCUGUCGUCCAUUUUUAGCCCACCUGUACUACUGUCCACUCGCUCGUAAAGAAUUUACCGUCUGUGUAGACCAUACAACACUGACUGUCUCUUUGAAUGCUUCCUGCUCUUACUGAAUGAGCUACAAAAGAAAGUCUAGAUCACGAAAUCGGGCCAUCAUCACGACAUCUUUAAAUGGUUGCAGUGUGAUAUGAACCAAACAAACUCUGACUUGUCAAACGUGCGAAAAUGACAGCAACGAAGGAAGAUUGCCUCGAGGCAAAGAAGAUAUAGUAGCUGUCGUCGCGGGAUCGUGCUACUUGUUUAGUUUUUUUUUUUACUUAUCAAUGGUGCCCAUAAGACAACAAAGUAGUUCUGUUGGUUUUUUCACGUCUAAGCUAUCCAAUUUUGCUAAAUCACGACAGUUGGAGCUAUAUACUGUACAACUAGUAAACAACAAAAUAUCAGCCUGUAAAAAAAUUAAAAAUGGCUUCUUCCAGGCCUUUGUCAUGUUAGCGAUUUUAUUCUAAGAAAGAAAAAAACUCUUCUAUUUUGACAUGGUCUCCAAUUCCAAACAGUAGUAGCUAUUUAUAUCAUUCCUGCUAAUACCUGUAAAUCCAACAGUUUGAAUGUUUUCCAACUAGAUGACCUAAAACGAUGUCCUAACAAAAACAUUUGAUUGUACGACGGUAAAACUAAAGAAAUUUAAUAUAUUUAACUCAAAAAAAUUUCUCUUUUUACAUGGGCAAUAAUUAGUAAGACACCAAGCUGUCAGCAGUUCUCAUGUCGUCGAAUUUGUUAUGUCCACAACAUUUUUGGAUUGGAAACGACAUUGAGAAAUUGGUGUUGAGUCUUUGUCGGCUCUCAUAACCAAAUAAGGUCCAGCAUCUUGUCUCGGAGUUCAUCAACGUCUCAUCCAAGAAAAUUCUCACAUUAUUCCAGUAUAGUUACUAUAAUGUAUUCUUUUCCGGUGUGUGUGUAUCUCUAAAUAGACAAUUAUAUGAAGUUUAACAGUGUAUAAUGGAACAAAAUAAAUCGAUGGGUACUACGUGUUGUUUUUUUAGCUUCAUGCAUAUAUAUAUGUAUAUACACAGACAAUGUGUCAAUAACAAAAGGUACAAGGAAGAACACACAUAAGUGCAGCAUAAUUCAAAAUCACGUUUACAUAUUCUUCGAUUUUUCCAAGUGAUGAGGUAUCGUGAGCAGAUUUUCUUUUAAAUGUAAGGACAGAAUUCAAUUUGAAAGGUUCAGGUAAAAAUCACAUUCAAAAGCUCGCGUACUACGAGCAAACAUAAAUGCAUUGGUUUUAUAUUGAAACAGUUCACACUCACACACAUAAAGACAAUAAUUAUUUACCAUUUGACCACAAAAACAGCUGAUAACACAUUUUACAACAACUAAAAAAAUUAUACAGCUACAAGCGAAAGAGAACGGGAAUCAGAAUUAAUAAAACAUGAUGUGGGCUUCCAAUUGGGGACGUUUUCAACAUACCAGAUAAUUCCAACUAGCAAAAAAAAAAAGUAGGGGACAAUUCAAAUGUUUACUGAUGA